GAGUUUGAUCCUGGCUCAGAUUGAACGCUGGCGGCAUGCCUAACACAUGCAAGUCGAACGGAAACGAUGGUAGCUUGCUACCAGGCGUCGAGUGGCGGACGGGUGAGUAAUGCAUAGGAAUCUGCCUUUUAGUGGGGGAUAACGUGGGGAAACCCACGCUAAUACCGCAUAAUCUCUACGGAGGAAAGUGGGGGAUCUUCGGACCUCAUGCUGAAAGAUGAGCCUAUGUCAGAUUAGCUAGUUGGUGGGGUAAAGGCCUACCAAGGCGACGAUCUGUAGCUGGUUUGAGAGAAUGAUCAGCCACACUGGAACUGAGACACGGUCCAGACUCCUACGGGAGGCAGCAGUGGGGAAUAUUGGACAAUGGGGGCAACCCUGAUCCAGCAGUGCCGCGUGUGUGAAGAAGGCCUGCGGGUUGUAAAGCACUUUCAGCAGCGAGGAAAAGCUUAGGGUUAAUAGCCUUGAGUCUUGACGUUAACUGCAGAAGAAGCACCGGCUAACUUCGUGCCAGCAGCCGCGGUAAUACGAAGGGUGCAAGCGUUAAUCGGAAUUACUGGGCGUAAAGCGCGCGUAGGCGGUUAGAUAAGUUGGGUGUGAAAUCCCUGGGCUCAACCUAGGAACUGCAUUCGAUACUGUCUAACUAGAGUAUGGUAGAGGGAAGUGGAAUUUCAGGUGUAGCGGUGAAAUGCGUAGAUAUCUGAAGGAACAUCAGUUGCGAAGGCGACUUCCUGGACCAAUACUGACGCUGAGGUGCGAAAGCGUGGGGAGCAAACAGGAUUAGAUCCCCUGGUAGCCCACGCCGUAAACGAUGUCAACUAGCCGUUGGGGGUAUUAAAACCUUUAUGUCGAAGCUAACGCGAUAAGUUGACCGCCUGGGGAGUACGGUCGCAAGAUGAAAACUCAAAGGAAUUGACGGGGGCCCGCACAAGCGGUGGAGCAUGUGGUUUAAUUCGAUGCAACGCGAAGAACCUUACCAUCCCUUGACAUCCAGAGAAUCUGUUAGAGAUAGUAGAGUGCCUUCGGGAACUCUGAGACAGGUGCUGCAUGGCUGUCGUCAGCUCGUGUCGUGAGAUGUUGGGUUAAGUCCCGUAACGAGCGCAACCCUUGUCCUUAGUUGCUAACAGUUCGGCUGAGCACUCUAAGGAGACUGCCGGUGAUAAACCGGAGGAAGGUGGGGACGACGUCAAGUCAUCAUGGCCCUUAUGGGAUGGGCUACACACGUGCUACAAUGGUCGGUACAGAGGGUUGCCAAGCCGCGAGGUGGAGCUAAUCUCACAAAGCUGAUCGUAGUCCGGAUUGGAGUCUGCAACUCGACUCCAUGAAGUCGGAAUCGCUAGUAAUCGUGGAUCAGAAUGCCACGGUGAAUACGUUCCCGGGCCUUGUACACACCGCCCGUCACACCAUGGGAGUGGGUUGCAAAAGAAGUGGGUAGUCUAACCUUCGGGAGGGCGCUCACCACUUUGUGAUUCAUGACUGGGGUGAAGUCGAAACAAGGUAACC
rnacentral:rRNA from 1 species